rnacentral:rRNA from 1 species
GAUGAACGCUGGCGGCGUGCCUAAUACAUGCAAGUCGAGCGAACGGACGAGAAGCUUGCUUCUCUGAUGUUAGCGGCGGACGGGUGAGUAACACGUGGAUAACCUACCUAUAAGACUGGGAUAACUUCGGGAAACCGGAGCUAAUACCGGAUAAUAUUUUGAACCGCAUGGUUCAAAAGUGAAAGACGGUCUUGCUGUCACUUAUAGAUGGAUCCGCGCUGCAUUAGCUAGUUGGUAAGGUAACGGCUUACCAAGGCAACGAUGCAUAGCCGACCUGAGCGGGUGAUCGGUCACACUGGAACUGAGACACGGUCCAGACUCCUACGGGAGGCAGCAGUAGGGAAUCUUCCGCAAUGGGCGAAAGCCUGACGGAGCAACGCCGCGUGAGUGAUGAAGGUCUUCGGAUCGUAAAACUCUGUUAUUAGGGAAGAACAUAUGUGUAAGUAACUGUGCACAUCUUGACGGUACCUAAUCAGAAAGCCACGGCUAACUACGUG